GACGAACGCUGGCGGCGUGCCUAAUACAUGCAAGUAGAACGCUGAAGGAGGAGCUUGCUUCUCUGGAUGAGUUGCGAACGGGUGAGUACCGCGUAGGUAACCUGCCUGGUAGCGGGGGAUAACUAUUGGAAACGAUAGCUAAUACCGCAUAAUAGUAGAUGUUGCAUGACAUUUGCUUAAAAGGUGCAAUUGCAUCACUACCUGAUGGACCUGCGUUGUAUUAGCUAGUUGGUGAGGUAACGGCUCACCAAGGCAACGAUACAUAGCCGACCUGAGAGGGUGAUCGGCCACACUGGGACUGAGACACGGCCCAGACUCCUACGGGAGGCAGCAGUAGGGAAUCUUCGGCGAUGGACGGAAGUCUGACCGAGCAACGCCGCGUGAGUGAAGAAGGUUUUCGGAUCGUAAAGCUCUGUUGUAAGAGAAGAACGAGUGUGAGAGUGGAAAGUUCACACUGUGACGGUAUCUUACCAGAAAGGGACGGCUAACUACGUG
rnacentral:rRNA from 1 species